rnacentral:rRNA from 1 species
GCCGCAGAUAUUCUGUGCUAAGGUAGCACAAUAACUAGCUCUUUAAUUAAGAGAUAGAAUGAAAGGACAAACGACUUAAAAAUUUUUCCUUAAUUAUAUAAUAAAAUUAUCUUAAAAGUAAAAAGACUUUUAUUAACAAGAAAGACAACAAGACCCUAUAGAACUUAAACUUUAGUUUUAGCUGGGGCAGCAAAAAAUUACAUCUUUUUAAUUUAUCAAUAUACAGACCUAAAAUUUUCAAUAAAUAAAAUAAGUUACCUUAGGGAUAACAGCGCUAUUUUACUUCACAGUCCAUAUUUAAAGUAAAUUCUACGACCUCGAUGUUGAAUUAAUUUAACUCUAUUAAGCAAAAAUAAUCUGAGUAAGUCUGUUCGACUUUUAAAAAAUUACAUGAUUUGAGUUCAGACCGGUGCAAGCCAGGUCAGAUUAUAUCUUCUUUCUAUCAAUUAGUAGUACGAAAGGACCUUAAUAUAAAUA